rnacentral:rRNA from 1 species
GACGAACGCUGGCGGCGUGCUUAACACAUGCAAGUCGAACGGAAAGGCCCUGCUUUUGUGGGGUGCUCGAGUGGCGAACGGGUGAGUAACACGUGAGUAACCUGCCCUUGACUUUGGGAUAACUUCAGGAAACUGGGGCUAAUACCGGAUAGGAGCUCCUGCUGCAUGGUGGGGGUUGGAAAGUUUCGGCGGUUGGGGAUGGACUCGCGGCUUAUCAGCUUGUUGGUGGGGUAGUGGCUUACCAAGGCUUUGACGGGUAGCCGGCCUGAGAGGGUGACCGGCCACAUUGGGACUGAGAUACGGCCCAGACUCCUACGGGAGGCAGCAGUGGGGAAUAUUGCACAAUGGGCGGAAGCCUGAUGCAGCAACGCCGCGUGCGGGAUGACGGCCUUCGGGUUGUAAACCGCUUUCGCCUGUGACGAAGCGUGAGUGACGGUAAUGGGUAAAGAAGCACCGGCUAACUACGUGCCAGCAGCCGCGGUGAUACGUAGGGUGCGAGCGUUGUCCGGAUUUAUUGGGCGUAAAGGGCUCGUAGGUGGUUGAUCGCGUCGGAAGUGUAAUCUUGGGGCUUAACCCUGAGCGUGCUUUCGAUACGGGUUGACUUGAGGAAGGUAGGGGAGAAUGGAAUUCCUGGUGGAGCGGUGGAAUGCGCAGAUAUCAGGGGGAACACCAGUGGCGAAGGCGGUUCUCUGGGCCUUUCCUGACGCUGAGGAGCGAAAGCGUGGGGAGCGAACAGGCUUAGAUACCCUGGUAGUCCACGCUGUAAACGGUGGGUACUAGGUGUGGGGUCCAUUCCACGGGUUCCGUGCCGUAGCUAACGCUUUAAGUACCCCGCCUGGGGAGUACGGCCGCAAGGCUAAAACUCAAAGGAAUUGACGGGGCCCCGCACAAGCGGCGGAGCAUGCGGAUUAAUUCGAUGCAACGCGUAGAACCUUACCUGGGUUUGACAUGGAUCGGGAGUGCUCAGAGAUGGGUGUGCCUCUUUUGGGGUCGGUUCACAGGUGGUGCAUGGCUGUCGUCAGCUCGUGUCGUGAGAUGUUGGGUUAAGUCCCGCAACGAGCGCAACCCUUGUUCACUGUUGCCAGCACGUUAUGGUGGGGACUCAGUGGAGACCGCCGGGGUCAACUCGGAGGAAGGUGGGGAUGACGUCAAGUCGUCAUGCCCCUUAUGUCCAGGGCUUCACGCAUGCUACAAUGGCUGGUACAGAGAGUGGCGAGCCUGUGAGGGUGAGCGAAUCUCGGAAAGCCGGUCUCAGUUCGGAUUGGGGUCUGCAACUCGACCUCAUGAAGUCGGAGUCGCUAGUAAUCGCAGAUCAGCAACGCUGCGGUGAAUACGUUCCCGGG